rnacentral:rRNA from 1 species
CGCGUAGGCGGCUUGCCAAGUCAGUGGUGAAAUCCUGCAGCUUAACUGCAGAAGUGCCUUUGAUACUGGCGAGCUCGAGGGAGGUAGGGGUAUGUGGAACUUCUGGUGGAGCGGUGAAAUGCGUUGAUAUCAGAAGGAACGCCGGUGGCGAAAGCGACGUACUGGACCUCUUCUGACGCUGAGGCGCGAAAGCUAGGGGAGCAAACG